GCCUCGGUAGCCGAGUGGUUAAAGGCGUGCCUACAAAGCUAUUAUGUAUUGUGGUACUGGGUUCGAUUCCCAGUCUACGCU
rnacentral:tRNA from 1 species